GAAAAGCUUUGGUUAACUUGUUAAAUUCUUUAUCAUGAGGGAAGCAGUUAUAUUCUCGUUUCUACUACUAGUUUUUGCAACUUUAUUGACGAGCUGCUUUGCAGUCAAAGGCAAACCUGUUGGCAGUUCCCCUAGCUGCACUAAAAAUGGCGAUCCACUAUUAUGUAGUCCCGGUUCGGGUCCCGGUCGCUAGAGAUUGUGAGAUCCCUCCAGCACUGAUAUGGAUAGGUAUUAUGUUGACGGAGGUGAAGAAACUUGUUUACAAGUUU